rnacentral:rRNA from 1 species
GACGAACGCUGGCGGCGUGCUUAACACAUGCAAGUCGAGCGGUAAGGCCCUUUCGGGGGUACACGAGCGGCGAACGGGUGAGUAACACGUGGGUGACCUGCCCUCAGCUCUGGGAUAAGCCUGGGAAACCGGGUCUAAUACUGGAUAUGACUCCAUGACGCAUGUUGUGGGGUGGAAAGCCUUGUGCGGCUGAGGAUGGGCCCGCGGCCUAUUAGCUUGUUGGUGGGGUGAUGGCCUACCAAGGCGACGACGGGUAGCCGGCCUGAGAGGGCGACCGGCCACACUGGGACUGAGACACGGCCCAGACUCCUACGGGAGGCAGCAGUGGGGAAUCUUGCGCAAUGGGCGAAAGCCUGACGCAGCGACGCCGCGUGAGGGAUGACGGCCU